GAAAAAUGUUCACUCUUGCUUAUGUGAAGCUUGGGUAAGGUUGAAAACAAAUAAUUGGAGCUUGAAAUUGUGAAUACUGGAACUUGGAGGAAGCGGAUUAGUUGAGUUUUGAGGGGCUGUCUUGGUUUUGAAUAAAUAGCUUUGGUCGUUACGUGGAAAUCGGCCAAGAUGCAGGUCGAGAGGCAUCUCGUUAGGCGUCUGGACUCUUGAAGCGGAGUGGUUACUGGGAUAUUUUGUUAUGCUAUGAUGUAUAUAUAUG